rnacentral:lncRNA from 1 species
CAGUCCUAUUUUGUUCCAAACCUCAAUUGCUCUCAAGGCCAGUAGAAAAUAUAUCAACAUAAAAUAUCAUUGAAGUCCCUAAAUUUAGAGAAAUAAAGAUCAAGAAAAAAAACGAAUGUUGUUGAGCUUGGCAUGCAUCUUGUAAAUAAUUCUAUUAAAAUUUUCAAGCAUCUAAAUUUUCUACAUUAGGUCACUCAAACAUAUGCCAUUCCGUAUUAACUAUUUUAUAUUGUUCACCCUUUGUUGACACAUGUUUUAAUUUCUUGCAUAGCGACAUAAGAGAAAUAAAUAAAAAGCGAGGGCAAUCCAUCUGCAUUAUAAUUACCCUCCUACAUUAUAAUUUCCAAGUCUAAAUAGUUCAAGAUGCAUCAUUGAAGAUUUAAACACAUCAUUUUUUAUCAUUAAGUAUAGAGGUUUUACUAGGAUGAGCCCCAAGUUAUAAGAAUAAGUACUAUUUAUUAUUAGACUACUAAUCGGGAUGGAAAGUUUAUGAAACAUUUUGUAAGAAAAAUCAUUAAAGAAGCA